GUCUACGGCCAUACCACUCUGAAUGCACCUGAUCUCGUCUGAUUUCAGAAGCUAAGCAGGGUCAGGCCUGGUUAGUACUUGGAUGGGAGAAAAGGAAAACAGGAUUUAAAAUACU
rnacentral:rRNA from 1 species